AGGAGGAGGAAAGAAGGGCGAAGGGCUGUAUGGUCGCACACUCACGCAGUUGUCUCCAUCAGCCUCCAGCCACGAACAGGUCUUGCUCCUGCUCCUCAUCGUGAAAAGUGCAUAAAGUAAAUCAAGUACCAUGCGUCGUUCCGUGUGCAUCGCAGCGAUCCUUGUAGCCUUGUAUGCCUUCACUGUCGCCCACCCUGCUGACAGUCCUCUUGUCAGGCAGAAGAGGCAAGGAGGAUUGCUGGACGUUUUCAGCGGGUUUGGCUCACAGGUGCAACAGGCAGCCAGCCAGUUCCCUAGCCAAGUGCAACAAGCAGCGAGCGAGUUCCCCAACCGGGUGCAGGAAGCGGCCAACACAUUCCGGAAUUGGGCGAGCAACGCUGGACAGACAGUCUCCAGUGGGGCAUCGGCUGCUUUACAAAGGAUAAGGGGGACCUUCUCGCCAUCCUCUUCUUCAUCACCCUCCACUUCUAAUUCCGACUCCGAUUUUGUCUAAAUAUGUCAGUAUUUCGGUGCAUACUUCCAAACUCGUCUUACAUCCUUCGUCACGUAGAAGAGAACCAUUUCAGAUCUAGAAUGUCAGAACCCGUUUUCACCUGCGUAUAUCAAGUCUGUGAAUAAAGAGAACCUUCUUCCUUUUCUGUUUCGUGAAAAGGGAAGAAAUCGAAAUCCUGUACAUGUGCUUUCAUAUUCUCAAGUAAUAAAAAUUGUGAACUUUGCA